rnacentral:lncRNA from 1 species
UCUGUCAAACUAAGCGUAAGUGGUUCACAGUCUGUACCACAGCUAAAUUUAAAGGGCCUCAUAGAAAGAUUUUGGAAGUAUUUUCUCCUGCAUUUUUCAGAAAAGUGGCUGAGAACCCACUCUAUCAACAUUAAACAGCGGCAGUUCCUGUAAGUUUUUAAGGGUUAUUGGAAGAUGACUUUACUUGUCUUCAUACAGUUUCACCUAAAUUGUGUUGGUGCUGUUGCUUUAGGACCUUCAGACCUGGAUGGGGACGUAUGAUAAGGAUCCUGGUUCUCAGGCCUUCUGGUCUGCACUGUAGCUAUACCUCCAGCUUUCCUGUGCUGUCAGUUUGGAGACAGCAGGUCAUGAGACUUCACUGCAUUCAUAAUUAUGUGAGCCAGUUUGUCAUGGUAAAUAUGUAUGUAUGCAUGUAUGUAUCCAUCCAUCCAUCCUGUUGAUUCUGUUUCUCUGGAGAACGCUGAUUAAAACACCUCUCUGCCUUCAGAACCCUUUUUCUUUCCUCUGACGUAUUAAUACUUUGAAUUUUAUAGAGAGAUAUUACAUGAGCAGAUGUGGCAACAUUAUUGAAUAUAAAAUGGUUAAUUUUGCUGCAUCACCCAAUUUUCUUACUCUGAUAAAAACUAUAAUGUAAGAAAUGAGAUAAUAAUUAUAAGUGAUUAUGACAAGUGUAAUAAUAACAUCACUUUUAUGGGGAAAUAAGGAAAAGCAAUAAUUUAUAAUGAAAUAAAAACUAAUGAUCAACAUAC